rnacentral:lncRNA from 1 species
CAGGCAGAACUGACCCAGAAAGCAAAUGGUAGUUAGAAAUAAUGCCUCGUGAAAGUAGACAACUCUCCACCGGCCAGGAUGACCAGAAGUUCAGUAAAUGUUGCCGAGGAACAUCUUGCUAAGUCGGCUUGAGGAAGACGGGAUUUUGUAAGCACAGAUGCCAGCAGGUACCAAGAUCUUGGAAAAUGAUGGAAGCCACACUGCAUGACCCAAGGGGAAGAAUUUAUUGCUUUUGCUCUUUUGAAAAAAAAUCCCUCCUCCAUCUUCCCCACAGAAAUCUUCAGCAAGAUGCUCUCUGUUCUUAAAGACGUUGUGUACAUUUGGUU